rnacentral:lncRNA from 1 species
CAGCUUAGUAUUGUUUAAUAACAGUUAAAUAAAAAGUUUGAGAAUUUUUAUCCUUUGAAUGCUAUUUUUCGUGAAUUUAUGUUGUUAUAAAGACUUAAAAAUUUGAAAAUUAGUUAACCAUAUCAAAAAUUCAAGGAAAGUUUCUGGAAAACCUCUAUUGUAUUUACAAUGAAAAUACAAGGUUUGACAAUUUUUGGAAACUGUUUGAUAAUAUUUUACAUUUUUAGGAAUAUAAAACACCUUAAAUUCACAAAACUUGUUUGUCAUCUACUUGUCUUGCUAUUCGAUUUCAACAUCUGAAGCAAAUAGUCCAUUUCAAUUAUCGCUCCUUUGAUGUUUAUCAGAGACAAGAAUUCUGAAAUAGAAAGUUCACCAAGAUCUAUUUCAAAUUAUUUAUAUUUAAAAAAAUUAAAGUUAAUUCAAGUUUUACCAUGUCAGUAGGUGCUGGGGUCCACUCAUUAGUGGUUGGAUUCUCCUUGCAUGAAGCAUGAUGCAUAUUGUCCAAUUCACGGCCUACCUCAAUAGUAAAGUGCUAUAAUUGCUAGAUUUUAUAGGUAGAAUGUCUUGAUAUUAGAGAAAUUGAAAGUGCAGUAAAUCAAAAUACACGUAUUUCCAUUUGCCUAUAAGGAAAAUGGAGACAAAAGUUUUUGGUUUUUACUAUACACUGUUGAUACACUUAAAUUGCAAAAGGAUAAGAAUUUUAGAUUCAUUUAUGCCCCUUUUAUAGUGUAGAAAAGUUAAUGAGACAUUUUUAUUUAUAUAAAAAGGGAAAUAUAUUAAAUAAUUAUAACUUAUACUAUGUGUUGUUGCUUGUCAACACCACUAUGAUCAUUGUAAUAUUCUGUCUCCACAAACUCAUGACUCACUUCCACAGAAGAAAAAUUUCCUUAUUUUAUCAUUAUUAAAAGGUUUUUUGAACUCUUUUUUGAAACAAUUUGAAAAACACACUAAAAUGGUAAUUUUUUUAUAGCUAUUUAUGCAACCCUAUUAACUCACCAUGCAUUAUGCAUACCCAAAUCCCAAAGGAUAAAGUGCCUUUCAAGUUCAACUAUUUGACAAGUCUAAUUGAAUCAGGGGUAUUUCAGACCUUUGGUAGAUAGUCUAAACAAUUUCUCAUGAAGAACUUACCUUUUUUUCAUUCUGAUUACAGCUGUCGUAUACAACUAUCCCCUUCUUGCAAACUUGCAGCUUCAGGUUCAAGUCAAGUGUCAAGUUCUAUGAAGGAAUGAUAUUGAAAAUAAUGCUUAACUACCAUCUCAGAACCAACAUGUUGGGUAAUUGAUUCCAUCUAUUCAAAGAAAAUAGAAAAAUGAAUCAUUCAAACAAUUUUGCUAUCCCCCUUUAACAUAAAGAAUGGAAGACCAUGAUUACUUGAUUAGACAGAUUACUAAUUUACCUUCAAGCAAUAAAUCAUAUCAAUAUAGUUUUCUGAUGAUAGUAUGUGGUUCUCGAGAAGGAGAGUGAACGAAUACAUAAUUUCCUGACAAAACAUUGAGGUCAAGCUUGAGAUAUUAAUAGAAAAACUUGACAAACACUAAUAGAUAUUUAAUUUACUAACAUAAUAGAAGAUAGCUGAUGGUGUGUGACAAGUGUUAACAUGCCAACAUAACACAAAACACUACGACCUUUUGAAAUUUUGUUUAAUAUGGAUUGACAUGCUAAAAAAUAGCACACCAUUAAUAACAUUUCAAGAGAGAAACUGAUAUCUAAAAGAAAAAAAAAAUUGGCAUGUGAAUGUACAACUUACAUGAAGUUCAAAACAUAUAUUGCAGAAUUUCGUCCUAUACAUGAGUUAGGAAUUUUGUCAAGCACCAUGUGUGCGUGAUCAAAAAGCUAUAAUAAAAUAAAGAAAAAGAUGAAAAAUGAUGUAAACAUGACAUGUUCGUCCCACCUCUUUGGCGAAGAAUAUUCUACUAUGGUUGAAAAUUACCUGAAUAAGAUUCAUGCUCCAUCUUCUGGUUGCUAUACCAUUUCUCCAUUUGUUGAUUAAGAAAAACUCUAAAUCAUUCGUAGAUAACCAAAUUAGGGAUAAAUAUAUACAUAGUUGACCGAUUAUAAGGGGUAAAGUAUGAUUUUUGAGAAGAUUACCACAUUGUUGUCGUGGAAGGAAUGAAUUCAAGAAAUGGCUUUUUCCCUGUGUACUCAAAACAAAAUUGAGAGAU